rnacentral:rRNA from 1 species
GAGUUACUGGACAAUUACUGACGCUGAGGCUCGAAGGCCANGGGAGCAAAAGGGAUUAGAUACCCCUGUAGUCCUGGCAGUAAACGGUGCACGCUUGGUUUGAGGGGAAUCGACCCCCUUCGAGCCGGAGCUAACGCGUUAAGCGUGCCGCCUGGGAAGUACGGUCGCAAGACUAAAACUCAAAGAAAUUGACGGGGACCCGCACGAGCGGUGGAGUACGUGGCUUAAUUCGAUGCAACGCGAAGAACCUUACCUAGGCUUGACAUGCAUUUCUAAAUACGUGAAAGCGUAUGACUCUUCGGAGGACUUGCACAGGUGCUGCAUGGCCGUCGUCAGCUCGUGUCGUGAGAUGUUGGGUUAAGUCCCGCAACGAGCGCAACCCCUGUGAUUAGUUACCAGCGCGUGAUGGCGGGGACUCUAAUCAGACUGCCCAGAUCAACCGGGAGGAAGGUGGGGACGACGUCAGGUCAGUAUGGCCCUUACGCCUAGGGCUGCACACGUACUACAAUGCCCAGCACAAUGAGAACCGAGACCGCGAGGUGGAGGAAAUCUACAAAACUGGGCUCAGUUCGGAUUGGAGGCUGCAACUCGCCUCCAUGAAGCUGGAAUCGCUAGUAAUGGCACAUCAGCUACGGUGCCGUGAAUACGUUCCCGGGUCUUGUACACACCGCCCGUCACAUCAUGGAAGUCGGUCGCACCCGAAGUACACGCGCCAACCGCAAGGAAGCAGUGUCCUAAGGUGUAGCUGGUAACUGGGAUGAAGUCGUAACAAGGUAACCAAGGGCGAA